GCUCCAGGUGGCCCCGAGCCAGCGGUGGCACCGCUGCGGAGAACACCCCGGGCUCCCCGCCCCGCCCCUCCGACGGAGCUGGUCCCGCUCGCCGGGUGACCCCGCUUCUCCAAACUACGUCUGGGUUUACUCUUUUUUUUUUCGUUUUUUUUUCGGUCAGGCGGGACUGGCGGGAGGUGCUGCCGGGUAGUCCCGAGCACCAGAGCGCUCUGAGGCCCCGGGGAGGAGAGGGGACACUGGAGGUGGACAGUGUUUGAUGCUCCUUCUGGUGCUCCCAUAAGUCCAUCUACUCAAACCACAGGCAAAUGCUGUGCUUCUACUGAAGUUUAUUUCAGUUCAUAACAACGUCAAAAUAAAAUGCUGGCGACUGUCUGAUGAGUCUAAAGGAAGCCUUAGACUUGGUUACAUAAAUUGAAUUGAGCUUGCCAAGGUGACCUUCAAAAACUUCUUGGACGUAUGAGGAGUGACAUGUGAUGACCUCAAACCACAAGUAAUUCUAAUACAACUUUACUCACAGAAAAACCUUUUGGGAAGGUACCAGGACUUUAACUGAGCUUAAUGCAAGACUACAGACAUUGAGGACACUGUAAAACAUGCAAACUGUUUGGAAUUCCAGGACAGAAGUUUUCCCCACAGUUCUCAUUCAGCUGUGUGUCCUGAAUUCACACCCGGGGUCCCCCCUGCAGAGCAGCACGAGGCCAGCUGUGCCUUCAGCUGGGAUUUUUGCUUUUGCUUUCUGAAGUACCAAUACCAGAGCCUUCCUGCUCAGCCCUUGGCAGUUCCUCCUUUCAAGGCCGUUUCUGCUCUUCCUCUGAUGUUUCUGCCAGCACCAGGAGUUUGAGUAAGCCCAUCUGGAAGCCAGCUUUGCAGACUACUCCCAGAGCAGCAAGCAACACUGCAUAUUUAUACCGUGGAAAAAAGCAAACAGGUGACACCCACUUCUGCAGAACACCACUGGAGCUCUCUAAGCAUUUCCUCUGAGUAUUCUUUGUAAGUGAAAUGAGUCAGCGAAGUGGGAGAGCAUUGCUCUGUGUUCAGAGCCUGCAGGCUCCCCUCAGCAGGGGCCUGUGGUGAGUGACAGGAACUGGUUAAGUUUGCGUGAUGGUGAGAGCAAUGAAAUAAUUUCUCAUGCUAAGGCUGGCUGUACAAGCUGAGGUUUCCACCCUCUCUGAGGAGAUGAUGUUUUUCUCUGCCACACACUGGGUGCAGCUGUCAGCUCCUGGCAGCUGCAGGAAGGCUCUUGCCGUAAUCCCCUGCGGAUUCCACUAAACAUAAGCUAACAUGCAACGUAUAGCAUCUGUAUUAGGUUCUCAAGUAGGAUUUGCCAUGAAAGUUAUGUUAAUUCAUCUUAUCUUAGCGUGACUCGCCUGCAGUUUGGGCUGGAUGACUCUGUGGGAGAGGCCAGACUCUUCUUGUUGUUGUAAGUAGUGGGAUUAGGAUGUCUGCUGCUCACAUUCACCUGCCUUUUUGAAAAUCACUUCUAAAAUGCCACUUAUUCAGAGCUCCCUGCUAACUUUGGCAGCUUGAAUCUGGAGUUUUCCUGUUUUAGCAGAUGACUUUGCUGGCUCCAGGUCUUUUGAAAUUCCUGGACAAACACAAUUUAGGAUCCAUACUGCCAGACUGAUCAGUCCCAAAGCAUGAAUUACAAGCAGCGGAAGCUCAGGUUAGGGAUGUAUAUAUGACUGAGUUCCAACCCAUUUAUUCCAACUCAUUGAUCUGUUAAUUUCCAAUAAUUAAUUAAAUUCAGUGAUGAUGUGAUAGGUAGUCUGAAAAAAAAAACCUUGAAGGAUGAAGAUGGUUUUCCAGACUUCAGUCAGCAUGUCCACAUUGCAUCUUUUAUGCAGUACAAAACAAACACCAGGAACAACUGAACUUUAUAUUCUUGUGUUUGUUUCAUAUAGUUCUGUGUGCAGUAUAAGAAAAUAAAUCUAAACUAGUAUGUAUCUUCUAAAGCUCAAGCCUGAUACUUGUCUGUGCUAAAAGUUGCCCUUCAGCGAAUUUUCUUAGAAAUACCAGGAAAAGGAAGACAGUCAGUCUCAGACUCCUCCAUUACAGAGUAAUGCAUUAGUACAAAGUACAAAUCUUAAAAACAACCCCAAAAACCUAAAACUUCGUUUGAAACACAGUUAGUGACUUCUCAGUGCUAGGAAAGUGA